CCGUCUCUGUGGCAAAAGAGUGGGAAGAGCUUUGAGUAGAGGUGACAGACCUACCGAACCUAGUUAUAGCUGGUUGCCUGGGAAUUGGAUAGAAGUUCAGCCUUGCGGCUUCUCCAUUCACCUCCGUUUCAACUUCCUCCGGAUAAUCCGAGAAACUGCGAGAGUUAGUCAAAGGGGGUACAGCCCCUUUGAACCAAGACACAACUUUUCCAGGAGGGUAAAGAUCAUAAUAAUCAAGGAACAAUGUUCUGGUGGGCCUAAAAGCAGCCAUCCCCGCAGAAAGCGUUAAAGCUCGGACAUACCUUACCUCCCUAUAUACUGAUAACCAAAUCUUAACCCCCUAACCCUACCAGGCCGCCCCAUGCAGACAUGGGCGUGACUAUGCUAAUAUGAGUAACAAGAGAGUACCUACCCCCUCUCUCCUUGCACACGUGUAAAUCGGAACGGACCUACCACCGAAUCUUAACGGCCCCAAACAAAGAGGGCACUGAAAAAUGACCCAAGCAAACCAGAAAACCAUCCAGCUUAUUACCGUUAACCCCACACUGGUGUGCCCCUAAGGAAAGACUAAAAGAAAGAGAAGGAACUCGGCAAACACAUGAAGCCUCGCCUGUUUACCAAAAACAUCGCCUCUUGCAAAACCAAAGAAUAAGAGGUCCCGCCUGCCCAGUGACAAUCUAGUUCAACGGCCGCGGUAUUUUGACCGUGCAAAGGUAGCGUAAUCACUUGUCUUUUAAAUGAAGACCUGUAUGAAUGGCAUAACGAGGGCUUAGCU
rnacentral:rRNA from 1 species